AGGCUUAGAAGUUCAAGACUGAUGCACCUGCAGAUCCAGUGUCUGGAUAGUGAAGGAGUCUUGGAAUUUAACAUCCCCCUGAAGCUGAAGAAGUUAAAGGCCCACUGCGUACUCUGAAAUCAAAAUCAUCUGUUCAGGGAGGAUGGAGACUUCCUGUGGAAAGUACAAACUUUAAAGAUUCCCAUUUUUGCUGCUCAUCUAAAUAAUGUAGGAUUUAUGAUUUCAUACUAAAUGCAAGUAGGAAAGCCUCCUCUUCAAUGGUAGGUUAUCCCCGUGGCUUUUGUGCGUGUCGGUCAGUGGGUGGAGGGGCAGGCAGCAUAGAUCCAGAUGUAUGCGGAAACAUAUCCUUGCCUCUCCUGUGGAACCAGAGAUUUGGAGCCAUGGGUAUAGAGUUUGUUUUUGCACUCCAGUUCCCUUGAAUUAUUUUAAAUGUUUCUAUAAAUGGCUGUUAUAAGAGUCGUUGCCUAUUUCAAUUUAUGGAGGUUGCUUUUCUGCUAUUUUGGAUUAUGCUUCAUUGUAAUACAAAGAUAUUAACAUUUUAUUUCGGGGGUCAUAAAAAAUCUGUUUUCAUACUGUUAUUUGUUUGUAUUUUUCUCUUUAAGUAUUUUUUCCCUUUGUGUGUGGGGGUGGGAUGGGGGACUAAAGCCAUAAUCAUCUCUACCCCCCAAAAAAGUCAAAUAUAGUUCACAGUACUUGUCAACAGGCAAACAAGGACGCUUCAGCAGCUAAGUUGUUUCUCCCUUCUCAUUUCAACAAGAAACAAGAUAUCUGCAGAGCAAAAUGAGGCAGCUGAUAAUAUCGUUAUUUCUGGCCAUCUCAAACAGAAAUCUACAUUGGCAAUCAAACUCAACCUGUUUCUUAGGCUAUGCUGCCUACAUUGGAUACAUCUGCCCUAAUCAGCAAGUUGAUCUUGUAACUUUUCCAAGCUCGCUGCAAUUUUGUCAGGGGCAGGGUGGGGACUUCGAGAGAUGCCUUUUAAAGCAGCUGGUUUGA
rnacentral:lncRNA from 1 species